rnacentral:rRNA from 1 species
GAACGGUGUCUUCGGACACAGUGGCGGACGGGUGAGUAACGCGUGAGAAUCUGCCAUCAGGUCUGGGACAACCACUGGAAACGGUGGCUAAUACCGGAUGUGCCCUUCGGGGUGAAAGGUUAACUGCCUGUUGAUGAGCUCGCGUCUGAUUAGCUAGUUGGUGUGGUAAGAGCGCACCAAGGCGACGAUCAGUAGCUGGUCUGAGAGGACGAUCAGCCACACUGGGACUGAGACACGGCCCAGACUCCUACGGGAGGCAGCAGUGGGGAAUUUUCCGCAAUGGGCGAAAGCCUGACGGAGCAAUACCGCGUGAGGGAGGAAGGCUCUUGGGUCGUAAACCUCUUUUCUCAGGGAAGAACACAAUGACGGUACCUGAGGAAUAAGCAUCGGCUAACUCCGUGCCAGCAGCCGCGGUAAUACGGAGGAUGCAAGCGUUAUCCGGAAUGAUUGGGCGUAAAGCGUCCGCAGGUGGCUAUGUAAGUCUGCUGUUAAAGAGUCUAGCUCAACUAGAUAAGAGCAGUGGAAACUACAAGGCUAGAGUGCGUUCGGGGCAGAGGGAAUUCCUGGUGUAGCGGUGAAAUGCGUAGAGAUCAGGAAGAACACCGGUGGCGAAGGCGCUCUGCUAGGCCGCAACUGACACUGAGGGACGAAAGCUAGGGGAGCGAAUGGGAUUAGAUACCCCAGUAGUCCUAGCCGUAAACGAUGGAUACUAGGCGUGGCUUGUAUCGACCCGAGCCGUGCCGUAGCUAACGCGUUAAGUAUCCCGCCUGGGGAGUACGCCGGCAACGGUGAAACUCAAAGGAAUUGACGGGGGCCCGCACAAG